UACGUAGGGUGCGAGCGUUGUCCGGAAUUAUUGGGCGUAAAGAGCUCGUAGGCGGUUUGUUGCGUCUAUCGUGAAAACCUGGGGCUUAACCCCGGGCCUGCGGUGGAUACGGGCAGACUUGAGUUCGGUAGGGGAGACUGGAAUUCCUGGUGUAGCGGUGAAAUGCGUAGAUAUCGGGAGGAACAUCAGUGGCGAAGGCGGCCUUCUGGUCCAGUACUGACACUCAAGUGCGAAAGCGUGGGGAGCAAACAGG
rnacentral:rRNA from 1 species